rnacentral:lncRNA from 1 species
GCUGGUCCAAAAGAAUCAAAACAAAGCAGAAACACGGCCCGAUCCAAGUGAAAUCACGCUCAAGCGUCGCAGAGGGGACGCCCGGGCGUGAAUUGAGGGUCAUAUAAGGCCCAAGCGUCAGAAUUGGACGCCCAGGCUUCGAAGUGCCACUGCCCGAGCAUUGAGUGCCACCACCCGGGCGGUGAGCGUCGAUUCUACGCGCUUGGUUUGCGCUCCAGGACGCCCGGGCUUCACGUUUGCCCUCCUUUUGGUGCCUUUUUAGCCUCUUCUGAGCUUCAUCUUCUUGGC